AUUGGACGCUGGCGGCAGGCCUAACACAUGCAAGUCGAACGGUAGCAGGAAGAAGCUUGCUUCUUUGCUGACGAGUGGCGGACGGGUGAGUAAUGUCUGAGAAACUGCCUGAUGGAGGGGGAUAACUACUGGAAACGGUAGCUAAUACCGCAUAACGUCGCAAGACCAAAGAGGGGGACCUUCGGGCCUCUUGCCAUCAGAUGUGCCCAGAUGGGAUUAGCUAGUAGGUGGGGUAACGGCUCACCUAGGCGACGAUCCCUAGCUGGUCUGAGAGGAUGACCAGCCACACUGGAACUGAGACACGGUCCAGACUCCUACGGGAGGCAGCAGUGGGGAAUAUUGCACAAUGGGCGCAAGCCUGAUGCAGCCAUGCCGCGUGUGUGAAGAAGGCCUUCGGGUUGUAAAGCACUUUCAGCGGGGAGGAAGGGGGAAUGGUUAAUAACCAUUGCCAUUGACGUUACCCGCAGAAGAAGCACCGGCUAACUCCGUGCCAGCCGCCGCCGUAA
rnacentral:rRNA from 1 species